UACGUAGGGUGCAAGCGUUGUCCGGAAUUAUUGGGCGUAAAGAGCUCGUAGGCGGUCUGUCGCGUCUGGUGUGAAAACUCAGGGCUUAACCCUGAGCUUGCAUCGGGUACGGGCAGACUAGAGUGCGGUAGGGGAGACUGGAAUUCCUGGUGUAGCGGUGAAAUGCGCAGAUAUCAGGAAGAACACCCGUGGCGAAGGCGGCUCUCGUGGGACGGUACUGACGCUGAGACGCGAAAGCGUGGGGAGCGAACAGG
rnacentral:rRNA from 1 species